rnacentral:rRNA from 1 species
UGCCAGCCGCCGCGGUAAUACGGAGGGGGCAAGCGUUGUUCGGAAUUAUUGGGCGUAAAGAGCAUGUAGGCGGACUGUUAAGUCUGGCGUGAAAGCCCGGGGCUCAACCCCGGAAGUGCGUUGGAUACUGGCAGCCUUGAGUAUGGGAGAGGAAAGUGGAAUUCCGAGUGUAGGAGUGAAAUCCGUAGAUAUUCGGAGGAACACCAGUGGCGAAGGCGGUCUUCUAGAUUAUUCCUGACGCUGAGGCGCGAAAGCAAGGGGAGCGAACAGGAUUAGAUA